AGGCCCUAGUCACCAUGUCCAUAUCUUCCCAACACACCCACGGAGUGAAACCACAAAGUGAACAGGUGGAGGCUAGACUUGCUUCCUAGAAUUGAGUUUAUUCAAUCAAGAAAGUUACAGAAAAUGGAUAAGGAAGAUGUAGUAUAUAUAAAUAAUGAAUAUCACACAGCCACAAAAAAGAAUGAGAUCGUGCCAUUUACACCAACAUGGAUGGAACUAGAGUGCUACGCUGAAUGAAGUGGAGUCCAAUUCUCAAUCAAUGGAAGGGCCCCUUACAGAGCUCCACCCGUAUUAGCAGAACAUGGACUGCCUGAUGCCUUUUAAAGAUAAGCUUCCUGCUGCCGCUUUGCAACGGUUUACAAGCUGCAACCCUUAUGAAAUGUACUUCCACAAGCACAUCUCAAGGUCUUGUUCAAGGUGUCCACAUGGCUGCACUCCUUCUGGGGGCUCAAGAGGACAGUCUCCUUGCAUCUUCCACCUUCUGGUGACUCCUUGGCUGUGACUGCAUCACUCCGAUCUCUGCAUGCUGACAUCACCUGCUCCUAUUCUGCAUGUAAUCUCCCUCUGCCUCUGUUUUAUAGGGACACUGGUGAUUCCCUUUAGGAGCCACCCGAAUAAGCCACGAUACUCUCUUCAUCUCAAGAUCCUUAACUCAAUCACAUUGGCAGAGUCUUUUACCAUGUAAGGGGACAUUCGCACGUUCCAGGGUCUAGGACCUGGAUAUCCUGGGAAGCCGUAAUCCAGACUACCACAGUCCUAUGGCCACACUUAGCUUUAUGCAGCAUCAGAAAUAAUAGUCUUUUGUGGAGUGCUAUAUUCCUAACACAAGUUAGCAUGUCUUAUUACUAAAGUUAGACUGGGAAUGGGUAUAGGGUUCCAAUCAGCCAUCCCUUCUUGAGAAAUUUCUUCAAAUUAAUGUGGUUUGAACCUUAGAGUAAAAAACUUCACAUCAUCAACUCUAAAUUAUAUAAUUUUUGGAGUAUUGGAAAUCCAAGACAAGUUGGACUGGAAGGAUAUUGUUUUUGCCUGACCACUGUUAUGAUGCCUCUCCUGCUUUUUCCGGUGAUAGUGCCCUAAUUUCUAAUUUUCCUUUGAGUAAGUGCCUCCUGCCGGAUUUCAGUCCAUGUGCUGUGGGAUGCAUGUACCCUCGAUCUGGACAAUUUGCAUUUUUUGUUGGUUCAAAUUUGGGUCUGAAAUCCACAGGGAUUCUCCAAAGACCAUAGGACUUACAGAAACAAUGGGGAAACUGGAGGUCUCUUCCCAGUGGGAUUGCUGAGCUGAUAGACGUAAGCCGGAACUGCCGAUAAUUCUCUUUGCACAGGGUGUGACGAGCCUGCCCAGGAGCGCAGUCAACCCACAGGAAGAGGGAUGUGAGGGACGGGGAGAACCGUGUUCUUGGUGACGUCAUUUGAGUGCCUGUGUCUAGACACACCUGAACCAAAUAUACCCCUGGACCUUUUAUGGGAGUCAGUUGGUGAGUGGCUCCAUCCUAGCCCCGCUUUCACCUGUUCUUUUGCCACUUGGGUUGCGUUCUGUCCCUUGAAACCAAGAGGCCUGACUAAUGCAAAGUUGAAGAAAAUGCAUCAAGUUGUAGGCAAAGUCAAGACUAAAAGUCAGAUGUCCUUCCUUUUGAGCUGCUCUAUUGUGGUGCCUUUCCUUCUUCUCACAUAAUGGCUGUUGACCAGUUUCUUUUGAUUCCACUACAAAGUGGAAGUCAUUUAGUCCCUUAGUCAAUCUUGAUUAAAAAAAAAAAUGGCUUGAGUUCUUAUGUGAUUUCUUCUCAUCUGGCCUACAAGCUUCAACAGCUUAUCAAAGGAACAUCACUGACAAAUAGAAUUUGUGACAACAUUGAAUACCCUGGUUUUGGUUGGAAAAUAAGGAAGGAAAAGAGGGUAAUUUCAAAAUGCCAAGAAGAAGUAAGGAAGAGAUUGAUGACCUUUUUUGUUGUUGUUUCCGGCAGAUUUAUAAUGCAAUAA